AGUAACGCGUGAGGAACCUGCCUCAAAGAGGGGGACAACAGUUGGAAACGACUGCUAAUACCGCAUAAGCCCACGGCUCGGCAUCGAGCAGAGGGAAAAGGAGCAAUCCGCUUUGAGAUGGCCUCGCGUCCGAUUAGCUAGUUGGUGAGGUAACGGCCCACCAAGGCGACGAUCGGUAGCCGGUCUGAGAGGAUGAACGGCCACAUUGGGACUGAGACACGGCCCAG
rnacentral:rRNA from 1 species